AUGCUGCCUUGCAAAGCUUCUGGAUUCACAUUUAGUCUAUAUGACUGGAAUUAUGUCCGUCAGGCCCCAGGAGGGGCUCUGCAAUUUCUAGGCUGGAUCUAUCCAUUUGGGAAUAACACAGGCUAUGCCCCACCUUUCCAAGGCCGAGUCACCAUCUCUGCAGAUAAAGACAAAAACAAGGUCUCCCUGCAGCUGCAUGCCCUUACAGCCUUAGACACAGCCACCUAUUUCUGUGCCAGGCAGCACACAGUGACACCAAUGCAGGAAGAACCA